CUGAGGUAUGCCUGACCCCCAAUUCUCCCUGGCCAUGCUCCAGCGCCCUGCAAGGUUACCAAUCCUCAGGACUGGCCAGCCCAGCAGAUUAGUUACCCUGCAGUUCCUGCGCCUGAAAGCUGCUUCUUUUCCACUAACUGAUCCUUUGAAGGACUAAAUGCAAAUGAGACAAGUACUCCUGUGGUACAAGUUACUCUGAUCAAGAUAAUUCUGAACUGAAUAUACCUGUCUGGCUGCUGUCAUUCAACUCUCGGCACACUGUGUUGUGGAAAGAAUGGCCUUGACCUCCCCAGAAGACUUCAGGGGGUCUUGCGCCAGACCACAUCUAAUGCUGGUUGCUGCAUGGGGUAGCUGGGGACCAUAUCUCUUCACAUGAGCAGUUGACUCUCGCUAGAAAGACAUGUUACUUUCACAUCUAUUGGUGUGUGACUUGAGUGAUAUCUCUUUUCACUUCAACCCCCGGAUAACAUCUGUAGGGGGCACAUCGAAGAUGCCACAUGCUCUGUGUCUUCCUCAGAGAAAUCCCAGGAAACCAGAAUGUGGCUGGCUUCCUAGGUGGUUUCUAUACCCUGGAUCUUCCCAGCAAGCUCGCAGAGAGAAACAGACUUCCUCAAGUCUUAUGAUGCAACAGAAUGAAGGUGGUGAGGGUGAACCUGGUGGUGGGGCUCCCCUGCACCCUCAGUGGGAGUGGACAGGGCAGUGCAGUUAAAAUCUGUCCUCUGGUCUGUCUGGUUGCUUGAGGUUUUCCUUUCAUUUUCAUCCCAAAAUGAUUGCUGUGUGUGCUGAGGUUUCAUGGUGAAAAUAUAAUGAGAACCUUCAUGAGGUUGGAAUGAGAGCCAGGAAAGAGCAUUGCUGGGUUUUUUCCCUGGGAAAGGGAGACCCUGGAGGCAGGAAAUGAAUCUGGCACCUCUGAGACCUUUGAGUCUUUGGAUCUUAGUUUUACAGUUCUUUCUCAGUAUGCCUUGUCUCAUAAUCACAGAGAAAGGGAAUACGCACUGAGAAAAGGUCCCACAGAGUAAUUGCUUAGAGUAAAAGCCUUGUCAUCUUGUAAGUGGUACCAGGGGAGGAAGAGGAAGGUCAGGGUGAGGCCAAAAGGGGGAGCCUCAGUUUCUCUAGCAGCCAUCAAAAGAAAACCAGAUAAGUGUCAAAUUGGUGCACUGUGGGUACCCAAACAACUAGGUAAAAUUAAAUCGUUGUUUGGGAUUUGUGAUGUUGAACAAUUAGCUUGUCUGGAACUCUCUCGCCACAAGUUAUUUUUCUCCUUUGGCCUCUGUGAAGAUGUGCACAGGCUCACACACCCAUACUCGCACUCUCCUCCUAAUAUACAUAUAUGCACCUGCACUUGGAAAUUUCCAAUUAUUUCCUCCUGUCUUAGUUAGGGUUCCUGGGCUGUGAUAAACACCAUCACCAAAAGCAACUCGGAGAGGAAAGCAUUUAUUUCAGCUGACACUUAGAUCCCAUUCUAUCCCCGAGGGAAGUCGGGACAGGAUCUCAACGUAGGAACUUGGAGAUGGACAGAGAAGCAGAAGCCAUGAAGGAAGGCCUGCUCAACUUGCUUUCUUACAUGUCUCAGGACCACUUGUCUAGGGAUGACACCACCACAGCGAGCUGGACCUGCCCACAUCAAUCAUUAACCAAGAAAAUGCCCCACAGGCCUGUCUAUAGGCCAAUCCGAUGGAGGCAUUCUCUCAAUUGAGGUUCAUCUUCCCAGAUAACUCUAGCUUGUGUUAAACUGACAAGAAAAUAACCAAGACGCCGCCCCCUCUCAUUUCUUUAUUGUUCUCAGAUACCAACUUCACUUCAUGUAUUCCCCGUUUUUUUGUUUGUAUGUUUGUUUAGAACAUCCCAUUGGAAACUCUGUUCUUCCUUUAUUGGUGGGUUUUAUCAACAGAGAACCCACCAGCCUGAGAUGGCCUUGGCUGUAUUUGGGGUACUGAGGUUCUCACUACACUUCAUAGCUGUUAUACAGUCACAGAACAGACAAUGUCCCUGCACUCAGAUUUCCUCAGUCUCUCCAUAUGUGUUUUUGACUUGCUUCCAUGCUGUCCAUGAAAAAGAGCAGUUUCUCUUGGAGAAUGAGAAGAAUGUGACUGUCCUCCCUGGACUGAUAUGCAAACUUAGAGACAGCAAAUUAUCCUUUUGUUUAUCUUAGCGUUAUUUUCCUGUUUUUUUCCCAAGUCAUAAAAGCAGCCUGAAACAAAAUUUUGGAGUCCUUAAAAUAAUGGAAAGAGAAUAUGAAAGUAUCUAUAUUUUUUGAAGUCCUCAUUGACACCCCCAAGGUCACUUACAAAACCUCAUUCUUCUUGGCUUAUUUGGCCCGGACACCCAUCAAAGGGGUUACCAGCUGGGAAGGCCAUUACUCAUCUUUGAUGUCAAAGAACAGUCUUUAUCUGGGUAGCCUAAAAGGGACAAAAGCCGACCUGUACAGGGAUGAGGUCCCCACUGUCAACUGUCUGGAAGGGGUAACCCAAUUGUUGUCGUAGGGUCAAGGGGAUUCAGCUUCUCUACCUACUAAUACCUUCUCCAGGUGAUGCUGUGACCAAGUCGGGUGGUGAAUGGCAGCUGUAGCAAUAAGGCCUCAGAAGGAAGUCAUCUCUGCUGAGAGGACAGCUCCUUCCUACUCUGGAAGUCCCAACACCCCUUUUCUUUCCUGCUCCCCGUAAGAAUCCCACUAGCUGGAGCCAAUUGACAUUUUCUGCUCAAUGGAGAAUGAGAAAAAUGAUUCCCCCCCUCAGAAGCAAUAAAUACAUUUUACCACUUCCAGCCUAUGGAUCACAUAGACCAAAUCUUCCGGUGUCCUAGAAUCCAAGACACAUCCAGCCCUCCAGCCACUGUGGUUGUUGGAAGAUGGAUCAGAGCUGCCGCCAAGAUAAGAAAGUUCCAGUUCAGACAUCACUGAGCUUUCCCAAGUCACCCUGUUCAAGGCAGAAGCAUCGCUGGAACACUACGUGCCUGGCCCGAGGUCAUUACCGUUUGGUCCUUGCUGCUCUGGCAGCAUUACACAUUGUCGGACUCCAAGGCUAGCCUCAAAUGUGUGUAACUCUAAAUCAGAGAUCUUCUAGGGACAGCCAAGGCAAGGAACUGAAACUGUCUUACCCACAAGAUGUAAAGAAAGUUUUGAUAAAAGUGAAUCUUAAUAUAGUAUGUUGGAAAGGGACCAUCUGUUCCCAAUCUUUAGAAGAGAGGGAAUGGGAAUUUAUGAUACAAUAUGAAGCUUGAGAUAAAGAGAGGAAAUUCCUAAUUUGUCUGGUUAUAGACCAAUAUACCAUCAAAGCAGACUGCUGUGGCUGUCUCUGGGCAUGUAAAGAGACAUUGCCAUUCUUUGCUAGUAAUUCAUCCCAAACCAUGUUUUAGUGAACAGAUCCCUGUAAUUUGGGGAGAUCUUCAACUAAGGCACCAGUAUCUCUCUGUUCUCUGCACGCUGCCUCUGUGGACUGGGUUUAUAUUUUCUACUCCUUGAAGGACAGUGGGGCCCUUACCCCACCAUGUUCCCCAGGUGGUUGGAGCAUAAAGCUCAGCCCAGUGCAGGUGUUGAGAAAGGCAGGGUCUAUAACCACAAUGCUUGUGUCUGUCCUCAGUCUGAGCUGUCACAUUGGAAACAUAAAACAUGUAGAGCAUGAGCAUCUGCCUGACCAGCAGCAGACAGUGCAGGGGUUGGCAGAUUGUUACCCUUCAAGAAACAUGUCCUGUGGUUGAUCAAAAUGUUUCAUAUCUCCCCUGUGUCACACAUUGAUGCAGGUGUUGCAACACCUUGUCAUAAGAAAAAAAACCCGGUUAACUGACAUGUAGGAAGUGGGUGGCAGUGCUGUGUGACACUAGACCAGGUCUCCCAGGGCCUCCCACACAUCCGCAUGCAUGUUCUUCCUCUUCCAGUUAAAAGUAAAGGCCUUGAGAACCUUCUGUCCUAAAGGACAGAAGAUGAUGGUACUGUAAGAGGGCAAGAACUCAGGGUUGACCUGUUCCUCAGAGAAGAGCCUCACUGACAAGCAACACACACCAGGGUGUCCACACUGGAGGCAAGUUAGCUACACUGAGCCAUUAGCACUCAGUUCUGCAGGAAACUUUAGGGACAAUGCCCGGGUGUUGUCCUCUUUAGAGGAUCAUAAACUGACGUUUCUUCCUAUGCUCCAGGGUGGACACUGAAACCACUGCCAUCUUCCAUAUGACGUCAGUCCUGGUGAAGUAGCGUGAGAUAACCCAUGCAGCUCAAAAAGGCUCUCCUCUGAAUAAAUGCUUGUUGAAUAAAUUAGUGACCUUCAGACUAUGACCCUUAUUGACACUGAAGGUUGUGAUUAAUUAUGUUAUGAAUAAUCUACCUUGCUUACUAUAUAUUAAAUAUGCAUUAAAAUUAA